rnacentral:rRNA from 1 species
GAUGAACGCUGGCGGCGUGCCUAAUACAUGCAAGUCGAGCGAACGGACGAGAAGCUUGCUUCUCUGAUGUUAGCGGCGGACGGGUGAGUAACACGUGGAUAACCUACCUAUAAGACUGGGAUAACUUCGGGAAACCGGAGCUAAUACCGGAUAAUAUUUUGAACCGCAUGGUUCAAAAGUGAAAGACGGUCUUGCUGUCACUUAUAGAUGGAUCCGCGCUGCAUUAGCUAGUUGGUAAGGUAACGGCUUACCAAGGCAACGAUGCAUAGCCGACCUGAGAGGGUGAUCGGCCACACUGGAACUGAGACACGGUCCAGACUCCUACGGGAGGCAGCAGUAGGGAAUCUUCCGCAAUGGGCGAAAGCCUGACGGAGCAACGCCGCGUGAGUGAUGAAGGUCUUCGGAUCGUAAAACUCUGUUAUUAGGGAAGAACAUAUGUGUAAGUAACUGUGCACAUCUUGACGGUACCUAAUCAGAAAGCCACGGCUAACUACGUGCCAGCAGCCGCGGUAAUACGUAGGUGGCAAGCGUUAUCCGGAAUUAUUGGGCGUAAAGCGCGCGUAGGCGGUUUUUUAAGUCUGAUGUGAAAGCCCACGGCUCAACCGUGGAGGGUCAUUGGAAACUGGAAAACUUGAGUGCAGAAGAGGAAAGUGGAAUUCCAUGUGUAGCGGUGAAAUGCGCAGAGAUAUGGAGGAACACCAGUGGCGAAGGCGACUUUCUGGUCUGUAACUGACGCUGAUGUGCGAAAGCGUGGGGAUCAAACAGGAUUAGAUACCCUGGUAGUCCACGCCGUAAACGAUGAGUGCUAAGUGUUAGGGGGUUUCCGCCCCUUAGUGCUGCAGCUAACGCAUUAAGCACUCCGCCUGGGGAGUACGACCGCAAGGUUGAAACUCAAAGGAAUUGACGGGGACCCGCACAAGCGGUGGAGCAUGUGGUUUAAUUCGAAGCAACGCGAAGAACCUUACCAAAUCUUGACAUCCUUUGACAACUCUAGAGAUAGAGCCUUCCCCUUUGGGGGACAAAGUGACAGGUGGUGCAUGGUUGUCGUCAGCUCGUGUCGUGAGAUGUUGGGUUAAGUCCCGCAACGAGCGCAACCCUUAAGCUUAGUUGCCAUCAUUAAGUUGGGCACUCUAAGUUGACUGCCGGUGACAAACCGGAGGAAGGUGGGGAUGACGUCAAAUCAUCAUGCCCCUUAUGAUUUGGGCUACACACGUGCUACAAUGGACAAUACAAAGGGCAGCGAAACCGCGAGGUCAAGCAAAUCCCAUAAAGUUGUUCUCAGUUCGGAUCGUAGUCUGCAACUCGACUACAUGAAGCUGGAAUCGCUAGUAAUCGUAGAUCAGCAUGCUACGGUGAAUACGUUCCCGGGUCU